GCAACAACAGAAAUAUCAUUGUAGACGUAUAUGG
rnacentral:guide_RNA from 1 species